rnacentral:rRNA from 1 species
AUUGAACGCUGGCGGCAGGCCUAACACAUGCAAGUCGAACGAGUGGCGGACGGGUGAGUAAUGUAUGGGAAAUUGCCUGAUGGCGGGGGAUAACUACUGGAAACGGUAGCUAAUACCGCAUACCAUCGGAUGUGCCCAGAUGGGAUUAGCUAGUAGGUGGGGUACAGGCUCACCUAGGCGACGAUCCCUAGCUGGUCUGAGAGGAUGACCGGCCACACUGGAACUGAGACACGGUCCAGACUCCUACGGGAGGCAGCAGUGGGGAAUAUUGCACAAUGGGCGCAAGCCUGAUGCAGCCAUGCCGCUUGUAUGAAGAAGGCCUUCGGGUUGUAAAGUACUUUCAGCGUGGAGGCGUUACCCGCAGAAGAAGCACCGGCUAACUCCGUGCCAGCAGCCGCGGUAAUAC